rnacentral:rRNA from 1 species
CACGUAGGUGGCAAGCGUUAUCCGGAAUUACUGGGCGUAAAGGGUCCGCAGGUGGGAAGGUAAGUCUGAUGUGACAGCGCCCGGCUCAACUGGGCGUGGCCAUUGGAAACUGCCAUUCUUGAGUCACGCAGAGGGGUGCGGAAUUCCGGGUGUAGUGGUGGAAUGCGUAGAUAUCUGGAGGAACACCGGUGGCGAAGGCGGCAUCCUGGACCGGUAUUGACGCUGAGGCGCGAAAGCCAGGGGAGCAAACGGG